CAUCUUGCGGGGGCGAGUUUUUGAGACGUUCAAUGCCAUGAAUAACAAGCAAGUUGUAAGCUGGAAAAUAUCAAAAGUUCAGUGCGUCCGUGCGCGGAAUAAACAAGUUCCAGCGGACCUUGGAAAUUUUAAAAGGUGGUCACUUAAAAUUUUUGGCCAUUUGAGUAGUCAGUGAGAUCGAAACAGCAUUGUGCCAGGAAGCUAGCAAAGGAAGCGUCGCUGACGGACAUCCCCAUGCGAAUCUUCCGUUUCCUCAUUCCGAAAAAAGACAGCAACUUCGGUCGGCAUUUCAGGUAUUAACGGAAGCUUAACGGCGGAAUACGUAUCCAUCCAAUCAAUCAUGAAGUUCGUUCAUGUCAUCCUCCUCGUUCUAAUAGUCUCGGGUGUCUUAUCCUCCUCAGUCUCUAACAAGGACGCCGACACGAUUGCAGAGACAUCCAUCAACCACUUAAGAUUUAAGCGACAGGGCGGUGGGACUGCUGGACAAGCGUCAGGAUUCUGCAACAUUUUCGGAUGCAACUGCACACCACCUAGAGGAGCUAGGUGCUGCAGAGGAUAUCGCUGGGAUCGAAGGAGCAGGAGGUGCCGCAGAAGGAGUUAGACGACGAGGCAAUCAUGUUCUGCAGACGAUUCGAUUGUACUAAUAAUAACCGAUUGCCUAAAAAUAAAGGCAUCCAACAAAUCAUGAAGUCUGUUCACGUCAUCUUCUUCGUUCUAAUCAUCUCAGGUGUCUUAUCCUCGGCAGCACCUAACAAGGACGACACCAUGAUCACAAAGGCAUCAGCCAACCUCUUAAGAUUUAAGCGACAGGGGUGCCCCAACUGCGGUGCUGCGACAGGAUUCUGCAACAUUUUCGGCUGCAACUGCACACCUCCUAGAGGAGCCAGGUGCUGCAGAGGAUAUCGCUGGGAUCAGAGGAGCAGGAGGUGCCGCCAAAGAGCCGGUUAAUCCAAGGUUAACGAAGCUAAUUUAAUUUCGUCUGUCUGAACAAAGAGGCAAAUGUGUUCUUUAGAUCUUUCGGUUGAACUGAUGUUUCGGAAAUAAAGAUUAUCUUUUGCAAUCGGAA